rnacentral:rRNA from 1 species
UACGUAGGGUGCAAGCGUUUGUCCGGAAUUAUUGGGCGUAAAGAGCUCGUAGGCGGUCUGUCGCGUCGGCUGUGAAAACCCCGGGGCUCAACCCCGGGCCUGCAGUCGAUACGGGCAGACUAGAGUGUGGUAGGGGAGACUGGAAUUCCUGGUGUAGCGGUGAAAUGCGCAGAUAUCAGGAGGAACACCGGUGGCGAAGGCGGGUCUCUGGGACGGUACUGACGCUGAGACGCGAAAGCGUGGGGAGCGAACAGG